GGCAGCAGGCGCGAAUUUUCUCAAUGGGGAAACCCUGAAGGAGCGACGCCGCGUGGAGGAUGAAGGCUUUCGGGUUGUAAACUCCUGUCAUUUGGGAACAAAGCCUUACGUUAACUGCGUGGAGGUUUGAUAGUACCGAAAGAGGAAGAGACGGCUAACUCUGUGCCAGCAGCCGCGGUAAUACAGAGGUCUCAAGCGUUGUUCGGAUUUAUUGGGCGUAAAGGGCGCGUAGGCGGCGGGGUAAGUCGGGUGUGAAAUCUCAGGGCUCAACCCUGAAACUGCACUUGAUACUGCUCUGCUUGAGGACUGGAGAGGAGACUGGAAUUCACGGUGUAGCAGUGAAAUGCGUAGAUAUCGUGAGGAAGACCAGUGGCGAAGGCGGGUCUCUGGACAGUUCCUGACGCUGAGGCGCGAAGGCCAGGGGAGCAAACGGGAUUAGAUACCCGCGUAGU
rnacentral:rRNA from 1 species